GAAUGACUAAGAUUCAAAAUUAUGCCCCUGAGAACCUGGGAGAUGAAAUCGCUCAGGAUGGAUCAAAGGCCUAACUGUGAGACCUGAAACUAUGAUUUCCAGUGUGUUUUCGCUCCAGUUCUCCCCUGGGAGUGUACUCCAGAC